rnacentral:rRNA from 1 species
GGAUGCGAUCAUGCCAGCACUAAAGCACCGGAUCCCAUCAGAACUCCGUAGUUAAGCGUGCUUGGGCGAGAGUAGUACUAGGAUGGGUGACCUCCUGGGAAGUCCUCGUGUUGCAUUCC